rnacentral:rRNA from 1 species
GACAGAGGCCCCGAGCGUUAGGCGGAAUCACUGGGCUUAAAGCGUGUGUAGGCGGACCGGUAAGUACCUUGUGAAAUCCCGCGGCUCAACCGUGGAACUGCUGGGUAUACUGCCUGUCUUGAGCGGUUUAGGGGGCUGUCGGAACAAAUGGUGGAGCGGUGAAAUGCGUAGAUAUCAUUUGGAACGCCAACGGUGAAAAACAGACAGCUGGGGAACCUGCUGACGCUGAGACACGAAAAGCCCAGGGGGGAGCGAACGGGG